rnacentral:rRNA from 1 species
CAGCUCUCCGAGUGGUAGGGAUGUUUAUUGGGCUUAAAGCGUCCGUAGCCGGCUUAGCAAGUCUCCUGUUAAAUUCAGCGACCUAAUCGUUGAGCCGCGGGAGAUACUACUAGGCUAGGAGGCGGGAGAGGUCGACGGUACUUCUGGGGUAGGGGUGAAAUCCUAUAAUCCCAGGAGGACCACCAGUGGCGAAGGCUGUUGACGAGAACGCGCUCGACGGUGAGGGACGAAAGCUGGGGGAGCGAACCGGAUUAGAUACCCGAGUAGUCC